rnacentral:tRNA from 1 species
GCAGGUUUGGCCGAAUGGUUCAAGUGUCCGCUUUGUAAGCGGAUGAUCAUGGAUUCAAUUUUUAGCUUUCA